CGAAGUAGGAAUUUAUGCGUUAAGUGUUCAUUGGCUGGGGAGUCGCCGUGAAACGAAAAGCCCGCAAAUAUUCAGGCGGCUUACGAUAUAUUUUCCGCACCCGUUG
rnacentral:ncRNA from 1 species